GACGAACGCUGGCGGCGUGCCUAACACAUGCAAGUCGAGCGGGGUUGAAGCGAGAGGUAACUCGAACUUCUACCUAGCGGCGGACGGGUGAGUAACGCGUGGGCAACCUGCCUCAAGGUCUGGGAUAACAGCCCGAAAGGGCUGCUAAUACUGGGUAUGCUUGUGGCCUCGCAUGGGGCUAUGAGCAAAGGGGAAACCCGCCUUGAGAUGGGCCCGCGUCCCAUCAGCUAGUUGGUGAGGUAACAGCUCACCAAGGCGACGACGGGUAGCCGGCCUGAGAGGGUGACCGGCCACACUGGGACUGAGACACGGCCCAGACUCCUACGGGGGGCAGCAGUGGGGGAUCUUGCACAAUGGGCGAAAGCCUGAUGCAGCGACGCCGCGUGAGCGAAGAAGGCCUUCGGGUUGUAAAGCUCUGUCUGGAGGGACGAAGGAAGUGACGGUACUCCGGAGGAGCCACGGCUAACUACGUGCCAGCAGCCGCGGUAAAACUCAACGUGUACG
rnacentral:rRNA from 1 species